GACGAACGCUGGCGGCGUGCCUAAUACAUGCAAGUCGAGCGAAGUUUUUCUGGUGCUUGCACCGGAAAAACUUAGCGGCGAACGGGUGAGUAACACGUAAAGAACCUGCCUCAUAGACUGGGACAACUAUUGGAAACGAUAGCUAAUACCGGAUAACAGCAUUAACUGCAUGGUUGAUGUUUAAAAGUUGGUUUUGCUAACACUAUGAGAUGGCUUUGCGGUGCAUUAGCUAGUUGGUGGGGUAAAGGCCUACCAAGGCGACGAUGCAUAGCCGACCUGAGAGGGUGAUCGGCCACACUGGGACUGAGACACGGCCCAGACUCCUACGGGAGGCAGCAGUAGGGUAUCUUCCGCAAUGGGCGAAAGCCUGACGGAGCAACGCCGCGUGAGUGAAGAAGGAUUUCGGUUCGUAAAGCUCUGUUGUUAGGGAAGAAUGAUUGUGUAGUAACGAGACACAGUAGAGACGGUACCUAACCAGAAAGCCACGGCUAACUACGUG
rnacentral:rRNA from 1 species